ACUCAAAGGAAUAGACGGGGGCCUGCACAAGCGGUGGAGUAUGUGGCUUAAUUCGAUGCAACGCGAAGAACCUUACCUGGCCUUGACAUGCAUCUAGUAGGAGGGUGAAAGCCCGACGAGAUAGCAAUAUCAGGAUGCACAGGUGCUGCAUGGCUGUCGUCAGCUCGUGUCGUGAGAUGUUGGGUUAAGUCCCGCAACGAGCGCAACCCUUAUGUCCUGUUGCCACUCAAACGAGAGUUUGGAGCACUCUGGACAGACUGCCUCGCUCAAACGAGGAGGAAGGUGGGGAUGACGUCAAGUCAGGAUGGCCCUUACGGCCAGGGCUGCACACGUACUACAAUGCCCGGUACAAAGGGAAGCAAGAGCGCAAGCUGGAGCAAAUCUCAGAAACCCGGGCCCAGUUCAGAUUGUCGGCUGCAACUCGCCGACAUGAAGUUGGAAUCGCUAGUAAUGGCGCAUCAGCUACGGCGCCGUGAAUACGUUCCCAGGCCUUGUACACACCGCCCGU
rnacentral:rRNA from 1 species